rnacentral:rRNA from 1 species
AGUGGGGAAUAUUGCGCAAUGGGGGAAACCCUGACGCAGCAACGCCGCGUGAACGACGAAGGCCUUCGGGUCGUAAAGUUCUGUCAAGUGAGACGAAGGCCCGCAGGUGAACAGCCUGCGGGAUGACGGUACCUAAAGAGGAAGCUCCGGCUAACUACGUGCCAGCAGCCGCGGUAAUACGUAGGGAGCGAGCGUUGUCCGGAAUCACUGGGCGUAAAGGGCGCGUAGGCGGUCAUGUAAGUCAGAUGUGAAAACCCGGGGCUCAACCCCGGCCUUGCAUUUGAAACUGCAUGACUUGAGGAUGAGAGAGGAAAGUGGAAUUCCUAGUGUAGCGGUGAAAUGCGUAGAUAUUAGGAGGAACACCAGUGGCGAAGGCGACUUUCUGGCUCAUACCUGACGCUGAGGCGCGAAAGCGUGGGUAGCAAACAGGAUUAGAUACCCUGGUAGUCCACGCCGUAAACGAUGAGCACUAGGUGUAGGAGGUAUCGACCCCUUCUGUGCCGCAGCUAACGCAUUAAGUGCUCCGCCUGGGGAGUACGAUCGCAAGAUUG